rnacentral:rRNA from 1 species
UGAGGAAUCUUCCACAAUGGGCGAAAGCCUGAUGGAGCAACGCCGCGUGCAGGAUGAAGGCCUUCGGGUUGUAAACUGCUUUUAUGAGUGAAGAAUAUGACGGUAACUCAUGAAUAAGGGUCGGCUAACUACGUGCCAGCAGCCGCGGUCAUACGUAGGACCCAAGCGUUAUCCGGAUUUACUGGGUGUAAAGAGUUGCGUAGGCGGCUCGUAAAGUGAAUAGUGAAAGCUGGUCGCUCAACGAUCAAAACAUUAUUCAAACUCACGAGCUCGAGAGUGAUAGAGGUUACUGGAAUUUCUAGUGUAGGAGUGAAAUCCGUAGAUAUUAGAAGGAACACCAAUGGCGUAGGCAGGUAACUAGAUCAUUUCUGACGCUCAGGCACGAAAGCGUGGGGAGCGA